AUGCACAUGAAGUUUUAAGAAUCAUGGUUACCAUAAAAAACAUUGCCAUUCGUUUGGCUUUGUUUUUCUUGGUGUUUGCUGCCCUCUUCGCUCUCCAUGAAUGCAAAACCUGUGAAAAAAUACCGAGGGAUAAUGGAUUCUGCACGCCUCAGGCUUGUAACUAUUUUUGCAAGAUAGAUCUGCAUCGUGUCAUAAGUGCUCGUGGAUAUUGCAAAACGAAGCCUAGAAAAACUUGCGUGUGUAGUUACUCCUGCUAAUUACUUUUGAUUAUUACCAAGGGUUACUUGAUGUAUUGUUUUUGUAUGGGAGUAAAAAAGUCAAAAGGGAACUUCCUUUCUGUGUUACUUUUUUUUUUUUAAAUGAUUUGGGGGAGGGGAUUUCGAACUCUAUACCUCCAUUUUGGAGGCUAGAGAUUAUGUCAAUCAGACCACAUGUCUUUAAUCCUUUUUAUGUUACUGAUAUGCAUGCGAUAAUGCAUUUCAUUGUAUAAAUAAUGGGUAUUGGAAACCAUGGAUGAAUAAGAAUUCGUGAUGGUAAAUUGAUUUUUCAAUUUUUUAGUUUUCA